GGAAGUGUGACUCAAGUGGCAGAGUAUCUGCCUAGAAAGCAUGAGGGCCUGAGUUCAAACCCUAGUACUACUA
rnacentral:tRNA from 1 species